UACGUAGGGCGCAAGCGUUGUCCGGAAUUAUUGGGCGUAAAGAGCUCGUAGGCGGCCAGUUGCGUCUGCUGUGAAAUCCCGGGGCUCAACCCCGGGCGUGCAGUGGAUACGGGCUGGCUAGAGGCAGGCAGGGGAGAACGGAAUUCCCGGUGUAGCGGUGAAAUGCGCAGAUAUCGGGAGGAACACCUGCGGUGUAGACGGCUUUCUGGACCAUUGCUGACGCUGAGACACGAAAGCGUGGGUAGCAAACAGG
rnacentral:rRNA from 1 species